AUUGAACGCUGGCGGCAUGCCUUACACAUGCAAGUCGAACGGCAGCACGGGAGCAAUCCUGGUGGCGAGUGGCGAACGGGUGAGUAAUAUAUCGGAACGUGCCCAGUAGUGGGGGAUAACUGCUCGAAAGAGCAGCUAAUACCGCAUACGACCUGAGGGUGAAAGGGGGGGAUCGCAAGACCUCUCGCUAUUGGAGCGGCCGAUAUCAGAUUAGCUAGUUGGUGGGGUAAAGGCCUACCAAGGCAACGAUCUGUAGUUGGUCUGAGAGGACGACCAGCCACACUGGGACUGAGACACGGCCCAGACUCCUACGGGAGGCAGCAGUGGGGAAUUUUGGACAAUGGGCGCAAGCCUGAUCCAGCAAUGCCGCGUGCAGGAAGAAGGGCCCUUCGGGUUGGUAAACGUUAGCGUUUUGUUCUAGGGAAGGAAAAGUACCUCUACGGUUAGUA
rnacentral:rRNA from 1 species